rnacentral:antisense_RNA from 1 species
CUUCACCGAGCCCAGCCACAGGGGACGGUCGGGGUCGCGGUCGCGCCCGUACGUGGCCAGCAGCGCCUGCGCCUC